AGAGUUUGAUCCUGGCUCAGGACGAACGCUGGCGGCGUGCUUAACACAUGCAAGUCGAACGGAAAGGCCCUUCGGGGUACUCGAGUGGCGAACGGGUGAGUAACACGUGGGUGAUCUGCCCUGCACUUUGGGAUAAGCCUGGGAAACUGGGUCUAAUACCGAAUAUGACCAUGCACUUCCUGGUGUGUGGUGGAAAGCUUUUGCGGUGUGGGAUGGGCCCGCGGCCUAUCAGCUUGUUGGUGGGGUAAUGGCCUACCAAGGCGACGACGGGUAGCCGGCCUGAGAGGGUGACCGGCCACACUGGGACUGAGAUACGGCCCAGACUCCUACGGGAGGCAGCAGUGGGGAAUAUUGCACAAUGGGCGCAAGCCUGAUGCAGCGACGCCGCGUGAGGGAUGACGGCCUUCGGGUUGUAAACCUCUUUCAGCACAGACGAAGCGCAAGUGACGGUAUGUGCAGAAGAAGCACCGGCCAACUGCGUGCCAGCAGCCGCGGUAAUACGUAGGGUGCGAGCGUUGUCCGGAAUUACUGGGCGUAAAGAGCUCGUAGGUGGUUUGUCGCGUUGUUCGUGAAAUCUCACGGCUUAACUGUGAGCGUGCGGGCGAUACGGGCAGACUAGAGUACUGCAGGGGAGACUGGAAUUCCUGGUGUAGCGGUGAAAUGCGUAGA
rnacentral:rRNA from 1 species